UUAUCAACAGUUUUAUCAUUCCAUUGUGAUACAAAAAAGAGGCAUCGGGAGUGCUUUAGGUCCAUGUGGGCACCUCAGAGCGGUUGGGUAGGCUGUUUGGUGGUUUCAACCAGAUGGAUUUAGGACUGCGCCGGACACCACAGAGCGUGCAGAGGUACUCUUUAUUUAACUGAUGUAGCUGGCAAGGUAACUACUGUUUGACUUAACAGAAGAAGAAGAAAAAUGUUUCCAGAACUGAGCUAGUAGUGUAACUGACAUGUAAUGUUCGCUAAUGUUUCAUCCCCUCUUGACUGAAGUUCAGUCUGAAGUGAAUGAGCUAGCUUGCUAGUAGCUGCUGGAGGCUAGAGCUGAACUGGCUAUCUGUCAGGUAGUUAGUUGUGUGUGUGUGGAAAUGUUUUGUCCCGUUUCAACAGAAGUAAAUGAACUUGUCUCGUUUUCGUCAGUGUACCAUUGGAGCUAGCCAAAAGGGAUGUCAAAUCUAUAAUGUUUGCCCCAAUCAGUCAGUAUAGAAAUGUAACGUUAUUGAUCUGUCAGCUUCCUCACAGCUAAUUUCCUACUUUUCACACAGACACUGUACAAACAGCUCUACAGGCGUCACUGUCUUGGUGCACAGUCAGUACACUAUGCUCAUCAUGUCUUAGCAGGAUGAGAUGGUGACAGGUGUCCCUGCGGGGUCAGACAGCCAGGGAAGACCAGUCUGAAUUUUGCAGUAUAUUGUGACAAUCAGUGAAUGGAUAUAACGUUCCAUCUUGAGUUGAUGGGUAGGCUACAGUCUGGGAUCUGGGAAUAAUGGAUCAGAUGGUGACCAGGGUCUCAACAGGGUCAGGCAGCCAGAGAAGACCAGCCUGAUGACACACAACAAGUAAAACAAAAAUGUGAGGAAGACCUGGGAGACGCUAUUGAUGAUGAUGAAUGGAUCUGAGAUAUGUUAGAAUGCCCAGUCAUGGAGACUGUUAUAAGAAUAAACUAUAGCAUUUAUAGCGGCUAAGAAA